rnacentral:rRNA from 1 species
AGAGUUUGAUCCUGGCUCAGGACGAACGCUGGCGGCGUGCCUAAUACAUGCAAGUCGAGCGGACUUGAUGGAGAGCUUGCUCUCCUGAUGGUUAGCGGCGGACGGGUGAGUAACACGUAGGCAACCUGCCUGCAAGACCGGGAUAACCCACGGAAACGUGAGCUAAUACCGGAUAUCUCAUUUCUUCUCCUGAGGGAAUGAUGAAAGACGGAGCAAUCUGUCACUUGCGGAUGGGCCUGCGGCGCAUUAGCUAGUUGGUGAGGUAACGGCUCACCAAGGCGACGAUGCGUAGCCGACCUGAGAGGGUGAACGGCCACACUGGGACUGAGACACGGCCCAGACUCCUACGGGAGGCAGCAGUAGGGAAUCUUCCGCAAUGGGCGAAAGCCUGACGGAGCAACGCCGCGUGAGUGAUGAAGGUUUUCGGAUCGUAAAGCUCUGUUGCCAGGGAAGAACGUCCGGUAGAGU